rnacentral:rRNA from 1 species
ACUCAAAUGAAUAGACGGGGGCUCACACAAGCGGUGGAGCAUGUUGCUUAAUUCGAAGCAACGCGAAGAACCUUAUCCAGGACUUGACAUGCAUGGAUUAGUCCGUGGAAACACGGAUGACGCCCUUCGGGGUGGAACUUGCACAGGUGCUGCAUGGCUGUCGUCAGCUCGUGCUGUGAAGUGUCGGGUUAAGUCCCUUAACGAGCGCAACCCUUGUCGUUAGUUACCAGCGAGUAAUGUCGGGGACUCUAACGAGACUGCCGGUGUCAAACCGGAGGAAGGUGGGGACGACGUCAAGUCAUCAUGGCCUUUAUGUCCUGGGCUGCAAACGUGCUACAAUGGCGCGCACAAAGCGAUGCGAGGCCGCGAGGCGGAGCAAAUCGCAAAAAGCGCGCCCCAGUUCAGAUUGCAGUCUGCAACUCGACUGCAUGAAGUCGGAAUCGCUAGUAAUCGGAGAUCAGCUACGCUCCGGUGAAUACGUUCCUGAGCCUUGUACACACCGCCCGU